rnacentral:rRNA from 1 species
UACGAACUGUGCAAACGUUAUUCGGAAUCACUGGGCUUACAGGGUGCGUAGGCGGCUUGUUAAGUAGGGUGUGAAAGCCCCCGGCUCAACCGGGGAAUGGCGCCCUAAACUGGCGAGCUAGAGUGAGAUAGGGGUGUGUGGAACUUCCGGUGGAGCGGUGAAAUGUGUUGAUAUCGGAAGGAACGCCGGUGGCGAAAGCGACACACUGGAUCUUGUCUGACGCUGAGGCACGAAAGCCAGGGGAGCGAACGGG